CGCGUGUGCGGCGCAUCUGAUGGCCAACACAUCCAUCGUCAUUGCCUGCCCUCCUUGAUGCGACGGUGCAGCCUCGCCUCUUUCUCCCUUCUCCUACGAUGCCUCCUCCCCGUCGGCUCCAUCUCUGGAGGCGUAGGUCACUGCCUCACGUGCGUGCCGUCUCUUGCAAACCCCUCCCCUCCCCCCUCGACCGGCGACGGUGCCGACCCUGACGAGGAGCCCAUCCCGCCCCUCCUCCAGGAACUAGCAGAUAGUUUGGUGCUCCCGCAAGCAAUUUGGGCUUCUAUCUUGAUGUAAGCAAAUAUCCCCUUCUCGGCUUCGAUUCAAACUCACCUGGUGGCUAAGAUUAUUUGGGUUGUCAGCAGUUAAUAACCACUAUUACCUUUAACAAUAGCAGUAAAGGAAAACCUAAAUGGUUAAUGUAGACACUUGUGUAUGUGGCUUUGCUUCAAACAGAAUAAGGCAAGCAGCAUUGUUAUGACCCCAAAAGGAUAGUUAACUAAUGUGUGAUAUAAAUAAUUUACCUUUGGAUGAUAUGCAGAGAGGGCCACUCUUAAAUAUACGUGGUUAUGAGGUAAUUCGUUGCUAUGUGAUGCAUCGUUUGGUCCUGCUCUAGUGUUGUUUUGCCUUCUUUUGCUCGGCUCAUGUUGCGUUUGGCUUAGAGACUACUGAAAUGGAAAUGUGUUGGAGCGAUUAUGUGUUGCAGGUAAAGAAACAAAUUUUCAUUUCUGUUGGCUUACUAUUAAUUGUCACUUGCGUACACAUGAUUAGGUUGGUCACGGAUUUGUGCAGCUAGCUUGCAUUGCUAAUAUUAUGUACUGCUCUAGAAAUAGAUCAAGUGAUACUUUGUUCAUCUAAUGAUCUUUUGUUAUUUCCUUUUGAAUGCUUAGCCAUGCUGUGUCUCACUCGUGUGAAACUCAAGAUUUGAUAUUAGCACAUAACUCAUGAUUUGACAAACAAUUAAAUUCCUAUAUUUUAGUAUAUCUUGUUAUCUUUCUUAUUUCUGUUCCUGAACUGAACUUCACCCUUUUCUACAAAAUUAUAAGAGCAAUGCUGGUUUGGACAAAUGAUUAUGAUUGCUUAUUUAUUUUCUUGGUGUUAGAUUACUAAUGAAGAGAAAUAUAAUUAUAUGAUUUUACCAUUAUUAUCAGAUGAGGAAGUGAUAGGUUCGGAAAAUGACAAUAUUUACCUAUCUCUCAUCUCUACUGUAUUCAUGUAAGUGCCCAUGUCUUUUUCCAUUAUUACCAGUUGAUAUGUUCUUCAUUGCACACAAAUCAUUCUUACUAUACUAUCAGAUAUUAUUAGCACAUGCUCUUUUGAGGGAAAUGGGGAUGGCACUAUCUUUCGGUCUUCUGCCCAGAAAUCUUUAGAGUACAUUAUCUUUCGUCUUCCUAAUUAUAAAUUGUUGGAAUUUCGUAUGAUUUCAGUAAUGCAACUUUAUUGUUUUACUGUUGUCUUUUGAGGGAAAUGGGGAUGGCACUAUCUUUUGGUCUUCCUAAUUAGAUAUAAGCAACUGCAUACCCACACCAUAUAUCUUCGGUUUGCUCCCUCGCUACAGCGUCACUCUGUUCCAUACACUAAGAAACGUGAAGUCUGCCGGUUGCUACUCGCGCUGCUGCUCUGCUUGGAGGCGUCGCCGUCGACUAGAGGAGCGCCGAAUCAUCGUCCUCGAGUUCGUGCGCUUCAGGAAAAAGAUGGCCCGAGGUGAGACGCCACGCAUCCGCCGUGCAAAGGUAGAGCUUGACAAAUAGGUCAGUGUGUGUGUGCAACAGCUCUAGAGAGACCAAUGUCGAGGUACCCACUGCUCCUGAUGAUGAUAGCCUGCCAUAGUAAAUGAUGCCCAGAGGUGGAGGAAUUUGGAUGAUCUGUAGUCAAAGGAUACCAUCAAGCGAGAGGACGCACAAGGAGGGUCGCCCAGGAGUAGAGGUAGUGGACGUUGCCAGUUGCAUCUCUCUCUGACCUGAAGCCCACCUUGGCAUGGAUGUGACCAGUGUUGAUCCCCAACAUUGGCAAUCAUUUGUGUUCAAGUUGAUCUGGAACAAUUUGAAGGGUUUCCUCGACACAAAAUCUUCAGCCAAGGUUUACUUAAGCACCUCCAAUUAUGUAUAGAAGUUUAAAAUUGUAAUUGUUUCAGGUUCUUCGCCACAUUAUGUAUGCUUUGUUAUUUUUUUAAUAAUUGGACCUAUCUGCUAUGUGGAACAUGUAG